rnacentral:rRNA from 1 species
GAUGAACGCUGGCGGCGUGCUUAACACAUGCAAGUCGAACGAAGAUGCCGGAGUGCUUGCACUUUGGCAGACUGAGUGGCGGACGGGUGAGUAACGCGUGGGUAACCUGCCUUAUACAGGGGGAUAACAGUUGGAAACGACUGCUAAUACCGCAUAAGCGCACGGUAUCGCAUGAUACAGUGUGAAAAACUCCGGUGGUAUAAGAUGGACCCGCGUCUGAUUAGCUUGUUGGUGAGGUAACGGCCCACCAAGGCGACGAUCAGUAGCCGGCCUGAGAGGGUGAACGGCCACAUUGGGACUGAGACACGGCCCAAACUCCUACGGGAGGCAGCAGUGGGGAAUAUUGCACAAUGGGGGAAACCCUGAUGCAGCGACGCCGCGUGAGUGAUGAAGUAUUUCGGUAUGUAAAACUCUAUCAGCAGGGAAGAUAAUGACGGUACCUGACUAAGAAGCACCGGCUAAAUACGUAG